rnacentral:rRNA from 1 species
CAGUCGCCACGGGAAAACGGAGGGGGCUAGCGUUGUUCGGAAUUACUGGGCGUAAAGCGCACGUAGGCGGCUUUGUAAGUUAGAGGUGAAAGCCCGGGGCUCAACUCCGGAAUUGCCUUUAAGACUGCAUCGCUUGAAUCGCGGAGAGGUGAGUGGAAUUCCGAGUGUAGAGGUGAAAUUCGUAGAUAUUCGGAAGAACACCAGUGGCGAAGGCGGCUCACUGGACGCGUAUUGACGCUGAGGUGCGAAAGCGUGGGGAGCAAACAGGAUUAGAUACCCGAGUAGUCCCUGUCUCUUAUAA